GGCAGGUUCCGCUGUGGGAACUACACUUCCCAGAGGGCCCCAGGAGCUGCACACGGUUGCUGUGUAGUUAGCUUUCCCGCACUUUUCCCUAAUUCUGCCAGUCUCCGCAUUCUAGGUUUCCCUGGACUUCCGGAAAAGGAAAGUGGGUGGCCGCGCCAGAACGUCAGUCUGAGCACUCCCGGGUAUCUUCACGUCUUAAUGAUCUUCUGGUCUUUUGUUGCGGGAGUUGUGACGUUCUACUGUUCAUUAGGACCCGAUUCCCUCUUACCAAAUAUAUUCUUCACAAUAAAAUACAAACCUAAGCAAUUAGGACUUCAGGAGUUAUUUCCACAAGGACAUAGCUGUGCUGUUUGUGGUAAAGUGAAGUGUAAGCGACAUAGGCCUUCCUUGCUACUUGAAAACUAUCAGCCCUGGCUAGACCUGAAAGUUUCUUCCAAGGUUGAUGCAUCUCUCUCAGAGUCCAUUAUUGCAA
rnacentral:lncRNA from 1 species